rnacentral:lncRNA from 1 species
AAAGAAAUAAAACUAAGACCAAUGAUAGUUUACGAAGCAAAGAGCCAAACUAUCAAAACAACACAUAAAGUUAAAUAGGCACAAAAUGAACAAAGGAGUGAAUAGUUGAACCUUAGAAUAACAUAGUCGGAUUUUUAUUGAAGCUUCUAGAAGCACACAUGGAUUUCCAACUAGGAUACAGUCAGAGCUGGCGAACUCAAAGCGGGACCGCGAACGGGACUCAAACAGAAAACCAAUGCUAGUACUUUGACAGGUGGAAGACUGAGCGACUCUCGCCGGAGAAACUCGAAUCUCGCCGAUGAACUCGAAUCCGACUCGACCUAGUGAACGCUGAAAACUCAAAAAAAAAACUGACCGACUUCUUUCUUUUUGGAGUUCGCUGGUGCGCUUGCUAUUGGAUUAUGGAUUUUUAAGGUCCCUUUAAUGGUGGGAAAUGGGUGUUAUCAAUGCUUUUUCUUUGUGUUAGGAAGAAGAAGAAGAUCAUCCCAUGGCCAUGCUUUUGUGAAGCUAAUAAAGCUUAGUCAUGGCUCUACACGAUGUUUUUGAAAGGGAAAAUGAUGAUGAUGAUGAUAUGGAUCCCUAAAUAAAGAAAAUGCAAUUCUUUAAAACGGCAGAAACAAAAAAAGUGUUGGGUUGCAACAAGCAGUUGGGCGGCAACAGCAAGUUGCAAAACCAAUUUUGCUAAAGUUGGUUUUCUGGUGGAUUUUGCAAAUUGAAGAUAUUAAUGUUUUGAUCGGUUAGAGCCGCUGUGACUUCUCCUGUGAAUUGAAGUGUUCAGCUACAUUUCAAGUACA